CGCCGCACGAGCUGUUCCGUGAGCGCAGAGCGGUGCUGCGCAGCUUUGCCUGGCUGUGGAGCGAAUCCUCGCCCUCCGUGAGGGUUCUGCUUGGAGACCGAGAACCGCCCUGCACCCAAAGAACUGCGCUGCCCCGCGUUGCCCACUUCUGAAGCAAAGCGAGAUCCUCAAACGGGCCUCACCCGCAGGUGACAGUUUAAGAUGCCUGAGCGGCAGCGAAGGGCGAUGGCAGCCUGUCUCCCAGCCGCACAGCGCGGCCCUGUCCUGAUUCCAGUACUUCGAGGCUUUUCAUGCAGCAAAAAUGACAGUAAGCUUUUGGUGGCCAAGACUACAAGGACACGGGAGGUUCGGGCCGCCAACUCAAAGCCUGGCAGCCAGGAGCUUGCCCUGCUCGUGCCUCAAGCUGGUGAGACACACACCAGCCUGGCCAGGGCCACCUGCUCCUGCCAACCCACUGGCGGUGAGGGCCAGUGCCCACCCUCUGGUGCGGCGCCCAGGCUGCAGCACCCACAGCUACUUUGACACGAGGUGGCUGCCCUGCUUUGCCACACGCUAUCCCUGCUGAGCCCUGCAGCACAGCCUGGGCUGUGUCAUCCUCACCAACAGAGAGGGACCUCCUGUGAUUUCCUGGCUCAGAAUAUGCCUCCUGCCAAGCACAGGGGUUUGCAGUCAUGGUUCCUGUGCCAGGAGUAGUGAUGGCACUUACUUUCUGCUAAAUAAGCUGUGCAGGUGGUCCUCUUACACCACAGGCUGUUUGCAGGCCAUGUCCUGGCCUGGUUUUCAGAGCUUGGAGAGUUUUAAGAGCACUUUGUAAUGAUGAGCCCCCAAAUAUAUACAGCCCCUGCUGCCUCUCACUGCUUAUGAACCAUUUAAAGGCAAACUGGAUGCCUGCAUCCCUUUGUCUGCUUCAAAUAAACCUCUGUGUGUUUAUGCACAUGCUGGGAAUGGUGUGCAGGGUAGUUUUGGGGUGCAGCUUGCAGCAACUCCAUCCCAAAAGCACCUGGAGCUGGACUGCCAUGAUAGUACGGUACUACCAAUACGUGAGAUGGGACCUGCAUGCUUGCAUGGAGGACAAACAAGAAAGACCAGUAAAACGCGUGUGGGUUGUGCUGACAGCCUGUCUCAUGCCCCCACCUGCAACACAACACCCGCAGCUGAACAUGCCUUCCUGGGGGGACCCUUUUCAUUGAUCCAUAUUAAAAAUAGUAAGAAAAUAGGAAGAUAUUAAUUAAACAGCAGGUUCUGACAUUUAAGUUUUAGUAGUGAUCAGCAGCACUGCCAGCUUGCCCAAGAAGGGAAAGAUCUUCCUCCCACCUCAGUAGCUGCUUCAGAGAAAGCAGUAAAAACACACAGCCAGAAAGCUGUAAGCUUAUGCAGGGUUUACUUUUGCUGAUCUUGAUCCUAGGUCUGCUGGGCUCUUUCUGAUUCUGCAGAGGCUUCAGCUGUAGCAUGGAGCCCUGCUGUGCCCCAUGUGCAAAGGGCAAUUCUAUAAUUAGGGAUAAAUACACCGCUUGCCAUAGCACUGUCCUCUUGAAACUCUUCUGGUCUGAGAAAUAGCAAGACACUCCCUAAAAAUCUCUGUCCUCAAUCAAAAAGGUCCCUUUCUAGCACCUGGCUUAUUCUCUAGUCUCCAACGAGAAUAAAUUUCUUCUAGCCUCUACAUCUGGGCAGCAUGAUGCUCCCAGCAUGGCAUGUUUUACAGCAGAACAAGAACUGGUUGCAUGGGGUGGGGCAGGGUUUCCUGUUCUGUGUCUUCUCAGGUCCUUUCCCACACUUAGUGAAAUUGUCUGCUCUACAACAAUAGUGGCAGUGACAGAUUUUAUAGAGUUGUAGCAUGCCAAGCAGAUACGGGGAUUAUUUCUACUCCAUGGCUUCCCCAAUGCCAUGUGCACACUGCUUUAAGAAAUCCCUUAAAAAAUGGCAGCUUCAAAAUAACCUAUGUGCAUCACUGCCUGAAAGGGAACACAUGAUGAGAUGCCCUUACAAAAAGGAAUCCUUAAAUUCCAACCUCACAGAGCAUCCAAGUGCACAGCAAAGCCAAGACAAGCACAGCACUGCUCUUUCCUGAAGGUGUACGUGGUUUGAAAAUCUCCAUUGUUGCUGUCUUCUAGAUAAUGAUUCAUUCUUCCCAUGAGGUUUUGACUUGCCUUUACAUGUUUUGCAAUGCUGUGUGGCUUUAUAACAGCGUGGCUGCACACAGUGACUCCUAGUAGAUUUCUCAGCUCGCUUCCGAGCGAGGAGGUGGUGGCAGCUAAUCCUUCCAACAAUGAUUUUUCUCUUGCAGCAUUUCUUCUUGUUGGCUAUAGACUUAGUACUUGCGACGAGCCUUUCCUGCCUCUUUUAUGCCUUUGUAUGCAUUGCCAUCGCAUUUUUGACCUGCUUCGUUAUCAUCUUCUCCUUUGGCAUUAUGGAGAGGAAUAUUGAUGUGAAGGGGAGAGCAAUUGUAAUUCUCGUAUCCAACAGCUCCAUUGGGAGGAUGUUUGCAAGGAACUUGGAUAAAGCAGGUUUCAGGGUGUCAGCUGCACACUGGCCUCCUCAAGAGGAGGGGACAUCUAUGGAAGAAGAAUGCUCUUCAAGCAUGGAGGUAGCCCAGCUCCACAUGACUGAGGAUGAGUACCAGAAGACAGUGAAGACCUUCAUAGAAAGCCACUUGUCUCUGGAAGGCAUGUAUGGGCUGAUGAAGAAGCCAUCAAUCCUGAUAUGGGAAGAAGAGGAGGAACCAGACAUACACACGUUACCUAAGAGAAAAACCUCUUACAAAAGGAAGAAGGUUUUCAAGGCUCCAGGUUAGUGGUUGAAACAGCAGCACUUUCUGUUUGCAGCCCUCUGUGUUGCGAUCCUCUUUUGCUCACUGAACCAUGCCCUGACUUUCCUGAAGAGAAGCCUGCAGCUCCUUGUGCCUCUACCAAAGUUCAAAAACUGAGAGCCAGGAAGGAAACCCAAGGAAUGCUACAUGUUAACACUGUCAUGCCACAAUCAAAAGAUGCUAUGAGAAGGAGCACAACUGAAGUGACAGACUCCGGGCAGGGCAGGAGUGAGUGGCAACUUCAAUCACAGGACAAGGAAAAACUGCAGGUGAAGACAGAAAUCACCUCCUGAACCAUGAGAUGGGUCUCCAACUCCCUUGGCAAGUUCAAUCCUUAAGAAAAAGGACACCCAGACACUGAAAUUUUGGGUUGUACAGUACAGUGCUGCACACACAGGAAUAUGCAUAUACAGAGAAAAAACAAAUCUGAGGUGAAAGGAAAUAAAGGAAGAACUCUGCUGGGAAGAAAAGUGCUAGGGCUUGGUUUUUAUUAUCUAAAGUCACAACUAAGAACUGCCCGACUGAUGAUAAAAGAUGCAUCACCCACCCAGGGAGCUGGAUCCAGAGAGGAAAAGCAAAGAUUUCAAAAGAGCUUCUAUAAGACAUUAAACCAGCUUAAUAUCAAGGCAGACUGAAAACAAACAUUUUAAUUCCAGAACAUCAAAGCAUUGGAAGAGAACAUGCUAAAGCAGAAAAUUCCUGGGUGAAAAGCUUGGGCUUUUAGUCUUGAUGUAUUUGGCAAGUAACUCAUUAUGUGAAUAAUGCUAAACCCAUAUAUUCUGCAGAAAGUCCCAGGAAAGGUUUCCUUUAGCCAGAACCCCAUUUUGAGUCAGAGUUGUUAACUCCUUUGGCGCGUAAUCCCAUUCUGUGCAAAUAACCUUGAGCAAUUUCAGCUGAUAACUAUCAUUUUCUCCUCUGAACUAUUGCAGGGGAUGUAUGUGGGCUGCUAUGUGGCUCCUGCUUUUUUCCCCCAAAGUGACCUUCACUCAAAGGAUGACACCUGCUUACUUAUACAGUAGCAUUCAUGGUCUGAAAUUAGAGACAUUAUGUGAACAAAGCUUAUGAAGACUUCAGUGGAAGUUUGGCUUGCCUGAGGACUUUGGAAUGGCCUAGAUUUAUUUAUAAAGCUUUCUGGUCCAUUGGGAUACAAAGAAAUACUGCACACAAGCAUAAAAUUAUGACUGUGAGGCAAUACCACCAUGUGAUAAAUUGUAACUGUAUUUAAAAGUAUGUUUAACACAAAUCAGCUGUAUCAAACCGACACUGAAGUUACAGACUGUUGAAGCUGACUAAGGGAUCUGAAUGCCCAGUUGCUUUUAGUUUGAGUGGGAACGAGGGAUUUGAAUUCCUUAAAUAGUCUUGUAUGUUUCAUCACUAAUGUAUAACAAAAAAAUUAAAGUAACUUGCUCUUAAAGCCUACAAACCUAUCCAAAAGGUUUUACCAAUAUUUUUUGGGACAUCCCCCUCCCAACCAUACUGCCAUUAAACUCAGGGAUUUUCAGAAAUCCUUGAAAAAAUCCAAGUUUUGAUGAAAGUUUUCAGAAAAAACACUUCCCACAAAUAUUUUUUUUCCCCAAUAGAUCACAUUGAGCCAUUUGAAGAAAUGUAAUUUGGCUAUAAGUCUAUUUAAAGAAAACAAACCUUUAGCUCCAAACCCUCUGUCCUACAACUCUGAGCAGUGACAACUGAUGACCAAAGACCUGUUCCAUCUCUCUGAUCCCAACUGCAAAAAUUCAAUUUUUUUUAAGGAAACACAGAAUUGGACUUCAAAUCUAACAAGUCUUCCUGCUUAAUACAGUAAAAUAAUUUCCUGAUGGAAGCAAAAUGUUAGUGGUGAUGACGAAACAGAGGGAAGAUGGUUACAUGAACCCAUCAUUUCGUCAUUUGAGAAAGUGUUAAUAAUGAAUCUACGAGCUGAUACUGUUCCUUCUUGGAUGUCUGCAUGCCUGUCAAAAGAUACUAAGUCAGCAUCCCCCAGGGUUAAACGCUCCUCAGCACUGUCAUUCUCUUACUAGUGAUCUCUCUUUUGGGGGGAACUUUUCUCCAAACUUUCCUCUCCUGAGCAGAGGUUAGCCACACAGACAGCUCUGUUCCCCUCUCAGCAAAUGCCUGGGAGGUGUUUCAGGCAGCCAGGCCCCACGAGGUGAGAAAUUUCCUUCUCUGUGUUUACUGUAUUCUAGGAAAAACAUUCAGGGAAGGAGAGGGUAAGAAAGCAAUGUAAUAACAAUUAGUGUAAUGGGAUUUGCUAUUCUUGUUAAUAGUUUAAUCAAUACAAACAUUUGCUGAACCCUCUUAUGUGCUUGCCAUGAUCAAGUUGUUUUAUAUUUAGCUUAACACUCAUAAGCCCUGGUUAGCGUCAUCUACAUCUCUACUACACACUUACUUCUGCAACAGAAAAAAGCAAGUUGAAGUUUGGUGCCACAACUGGGACUGCCCAAUGCCUAAGAACCAAGCCAUGCACAGGUGACCUCCUCAGCCACGUGCCAUGCUGUGCGCCCUGGCUGUGCUGGAAACACCAGACACACAAGAUGGAGAUGACGGGUCUCAGGAUACGUGGGACUUGCUCUGUAUGGAGUGGGGAGGAGGGAGCUGGCCUCUUCACCCAAGUGACAGGGGACAGGACAAGAGGGAAUGGCCUCAAGCUCUGUCAGGGGAGGUUUGGGCUGGACACCAGGAAAAAUUUUUUCAUGGAAAGGGUCAUUGGGCACUGGAACAGGCUGCCCAGGAAGGUGGUUGAGUCAUCUUCCCUGGAGGUGUUUAAAGGACGCGUGGAUGAGGUGCUGAGGGGCAUGGUUUAGGGAGUGUUAGGAAUGGUUCCACUCGAUGAUCCAGUGGGUCCUUUGCAACCUAGUGAUUCUAUGAUUCUAUACGAGAUGGCCCAACACUUCUAAAACUUUGCAGACCACACAUAGUUGAAUCCUGUGCUUCUCACAUGGUCUUUCCUUGACAGAAUGACUUAUUAGCAGCCCUUGCUUUGAGAGUUCAUUAAUUAGAUACCGAAGAUACAUAAAAGAUAUAAAAACAUGCAUAUACAGAGGGACAGGACCAGUCCAACAGAGCUCAUCACAGUGAAGGUUGGUGGUACCGCAGCGGCUUUGCCUUAGAGCAGUUGUAUCUCCAUUUCAUAUCAUGCCAUUUAUGAUACAAUGUUGGUAUCAUACCACAGGACACAGCAUAUGUUCUAAGGAAGCACAGGCCUUUCAUACAAUUCUUACUCUUUAGCUUGAUUUUAAGCAGAGAGAGAGAGAAAUAUUACCUUAAGUUUUGCUUUCAUCUCUCUAAAUAGAUAGUGCUAAGAGCACAUAUAGACAUCCUAUUGGUGUAUCAGUAUAAAGCUAAUUUAAAAGGCUUAAAACUGGCUGUGAAAUAAGCUGGGAGAAUCUCCAAAUUGACAACUGCGAGGAGGAGAGGAAAAAAAAAAAGGCAGACUUCCUUGCAGAAUGCCCCUCCUCAUUGCAGAGCUCAAGAGGAAAGGCACUUUUCCUCCAUCCCAAAGCCUGUCCCCAUGACCUCACGGCAGGGGAAGUUGUGCCAUUUAUAGACACUAGUCUGAGAGCAGACACGCAUUGCUGUAACAGCGAAUGCCAUAGGCAGUAUCUGUCCAAGAAGCAUAGAUACCAUGAUGUUCCAGAACAGAGGAACUCUGCAAUGUGUAGUCACAAGAUUAGUUUGCUAUAAUGUGGCUAAUUUAUUUUGGCAUUUC